CAAAACUAUUAUCCAAAAACCUAAUUUCUCCACCUCAACCACGUUCUAUACCCGUCGUAUUCAUCUUCCCCUUUCCAUCUUUCCUUCACAAAACCCUAAUCUAAGCCUGUCGCAUGUCGUUAACUUCUUGCGAUUCCUCUCUGCUACUCCUUCAUCACCGGCGAUUACUCCAGAGUAUAAGGGCAGUUUGGCGACACUAAGAAUUUGUAGUGGAACUGUUGACUACCUUGGAUUACACACGGUUAGCAAGCUGACAUUUCAGAUUGUGUUUCUAUCGCCAGUUAUUGUUUACGGUUUGCCAAAUGAAGUUCUGUGCAUAGAAUAUUUCCCCUGAUCUGCAGACUGCAGCCAACCAUCAUUGGCAAACUAAGGUAUCAAACACUACUUUCUAUAGCCCUUUGUAUGGUCGCUCUUUGUUAUGCGUUUUUUAUCUACAUUUUUAGAUAUUAAGUUUUGUGCAAAACAAAGGAAAUGCUUAUUAUUUGAUCAUAUGUUGGUUAUAGUUGCUAGCCAAAAGGAUCUUAUGGCUCUAGAAGGAUCAAUUUAUCUCAACUUUUAGAAAUUACUAAAUUAUCAUGAUGUGGUGAAAUUUUUUAGUUUGUGCCUGCUCAGUGU